UAGGCAUGGAGCACAUGAAUGAUUGAGCAAAGAAACAUGUCCAUCUUCUGUUUUCUAGAGAUUUCCCCCCUUCGACUAUUGUGGAAAUGUUUUGUGCACGCAAGAUCUUCAAUAACAGUUCAAAGCUUGGAUGAAGUUUUAUGUAUAUUAUGAUAGGAAGGUGCUUCAGCGAACUAUUAGGUCUGCAUUUUUGUGGAACUCAUCUUACUUCUGCUCCAUUUAUUUGACUACUUCCUUUGAUUUGCUUGUGUGCACAUAAUUGGUACUCCACUCUUUUCUGAGAUGGUUGCCCGUCAUUUUUUUGGUGAAGGUUGUUUGUAUGCUUCUUU